UAAUACGGAGGAUCCGAGCGUUAUCCGGAUUUAUUGGGUUUAAAGGGUGCGUAGGCGGAGAUUUAAGUCAGCGGUGAAAGUUUAGGGCUCAACCUUAAAAUUGCCGUUGAAACUGGGUUUCUUGAGUACGGUAGAGGUAGGCGGAAUUUGUGGUGUAGCGGUGAAAUGCUUAGAUAUCACGAAGAACUCCGAUUGCGAAGGCAGCUUACCGGACCGUAACUGACGCUGAGGCACGAAAGUGUGGGGAUCAAACAGG
rnacentral:rRNA from 1 species